CAAGUCACCAAAGGCAGCACAUCUUCCUUCAUCACUUGCUCCGGAAGGCGCCUAGGGGGCGCUGUUGUGGCACCACAGAGCGAGGGAGUGGGCCGUGGGGGAAGCAGUUCUAGGAAUCCGGACCACGUGCGAACCACGUGGCGUUGGUGCAGACCCGGCCCCGGGAGGUGGCGCAGGGGCCUGCCGGGUGCUGCGGCAAGGCGAGCGGGAGACAGAGAGUAGCAAGUUCAGUCACGCCCGGGGUCGGCCCACCCGGGGCUGGAAGGAGGUACCAGUAAAGGUUAUCAAGUGAAAAGGAAGAAAUGCUGUGGAUAUUCAUGAAAAGAGGGCAAUGAAGGAAGACAAUGAAGAAAGGAAAAAAUUACAUAAAAGGUUUGCACUUUAUAACCAAAUCUGGUUAAUUCUUUUUUGAUCAAAGACAUUUUCCCUCUUAUUCCAUUAAUUCCUAUCAUCUCAGUUACAGGUACUGAAAUAAAGGAGCUGGAAAAAACAGCUGGAAAAAUGUAAGAAAGCAUGAAUUCCAUUCCAGUUGAAAUUGUGGUUGCAGAAAUUUAUUAGGCAAAUUAUCUUAUCUCUGUUUGCCUCAGUUUCCUGAUCUGUAAAGAGAAAAAUAAUAAUGUUAACCACCUCCCGUGGUUGUUGUGAAGAUCAAAAUGAUAAAAUUAUUAUAGAGUGCUUAAUAAAUGACUGCAUUAUGCUAAGCACUAUUUUAUUAAUUCCUUAAUUGAAUGUGAUUGUUCCAUAGUUGAUAAUUCUAAAGUAAUUUUAAAAUGUCAAAGAUCGGUGAUUUUUAUAUGUGAUAACUAGGAAAUCCAAUUAAUGUUAGUUUAUUAUUUGUUUUAUUAUUGUAUUUCUAAUUUCUCUUAUACUGUAGAAUUUGAGAUACCAUUGUAACAGAAAUGCUAUUAGGCAAGAUGAGUUAAUCGGGAUGCUGUUAUACAUGAAUUGGGCUUUUAAAAGGAUGUGAUUUUAUCAUAUAGGUAUUUGAAAACUUAAAUAUUUAAUGAGGUAUAUUUUGUUAUAAACCAAAUAAUAUAUGAUAGCAAAUUUUCAUUUGAAAUUAUUGGCUAUUAUGAAAAUGUAUAGAGUAUUCAAUGAUGUAUCUUUGACAUAUCUAUGAUGAGUCAGUUAUCAGGUUAUUUGUUGUGUGUCUGAAGCUCCAGAAUAUGUUUAGUUUUAAUUUAUAAGUAAAAGAGUAACAAAAUGUUAACUGUUAGGAAAAUAUCAGGAAAGAUAUUUAAACCUUAAUUGUGAUUAGUGAAAUUUUGCUAUUUAAGAUAAAAAUUCCUGGCCUGUAAUUUAUUAUUAUUUUACAGCUUUGAUUAUUGGGAUAGUUGUCUGAAUUGUCAUGAAGCCAAUAUUAGAAAAUGGCAUUUCUACAGACUAACUGCUAAAGGUGGAUAUCUAUGCCUGGGAAAAGUUUUGGGGACAACCUUGGUAUGGCCUAGAGAUGAUCCUCCUAACUAUUGUACUGUUUCCUUUCUGAAAAGAAAAAUUCCCAACUGGUCAAUGCUGAACUUUGUUUUUAAUACUCUGUGAUUCAUGAUUGACUGUCAUGACUAAUGUCCAGAAUCAAACACAAUUAAGGGAGGUUCCCCCUGUGUUAUAAGAAAUCACAUUUUUUUCUUUUUUUCCUUUUAUGGCAAAUUUUUGUAAUCAAGAAGUUUUGUAAAUACAAUACUAAAUCUAUUAUAUUUUUUAUUACUAUACAUUAUAUAUUGCAUAUUAUAUAACCUGUGUUUGUGGUCGAAUUAUAUCUUCCUGAGAGUAAAAUGAUUACAUAAGAAUAAGACAAAGAUGUAAAAGGUUUUUCUAAAUAAAUGGAAUAGUAAAUUUUGAGAAAGCAACACGAUUAGACUAUUUUCUCUAACAGCUAUAUACUUAGCAUAUAUGAUUGAUCUCUAAAUUUAUUUAUCAUGGAAAUUUAGGCUUUGAAUAUGUCUUAGUAAUCAGUUCUCAAAAUUGCUAAGGAAUUUUUAAAUUAAGGAUUAAGGAAGAUACACAUAAUUGAUGAUAAAGAAAGUGAAAUUAUUUUUCUGUUUUUAAGACAUCUGUCUGAUAAAGGGCAGAAGUGUUCAUUUUGCAGUUGGAUCUUCAUAAAUUUUCAAGAGAUUCUUAUAUCAGGUACAGGAUUUAGGGAAGGAUAAAAAAAAAAACAAAUGCAACUGAACUGAACUGAAAUUCUCUGAAGUUUCAGAAUAAUCUAGGAAUCUUUGUAGAGCUUCUUUGAGAAUAAAACCUAUUGUCCAAGAAAAGAUCCAGGGUCCAGAAAACUAUAUGAGGCAUUUGGGACUGAAAUAUAAUAACUAAAUAGAUAUUGAGAAUGGGUUACUAGAAUACAAGAAGACUUUAUAUCAGUUAAUAUUGGUGAUACCUAUUGUAUUCUUUCGUCUUUUAUUUUAAUAUGUUUAUAUUUAAAUUUUCUUGGUUACCUUGGUGAAUGUAAAUCUCCUUUUACAGAACUAGUCCUUUGUGAUCCCUCUAAGUAGUUUGAUUUGUACUUGGCUUAAUGUAAUUAUACAGUUGUGGGAAUUGUGAGAAAAACUUUUUGUGCUGUUUGAAACGACAAUAACUCUGUAUGGCUGGGAAGCUGGGUUAUCUCAGAUCCAAAGAUUGAGGUAAGAAGUUUUCUCACAAUUGAACAUCUCAAGCAACUCAUAUGUUGUCUGAGGGUCCCUAUCAAGUCCUUCUGACUACUCCCACAGCUGUUAAACUUGUGAGUGUAUACGCCUGGGUUUAUCUGAAGAAAGUCCCUGCUUCUGAGUGAAUGGCAGAACCCUUCAGGGACUUCACGGUUUAUCUAAUAUGGACCCAGAAGCAACUGAUAUCCAGAUGAAACAGCUGUUCCAAGAUUUUGGAUGAGAGUUGAGCAUAUUAUCCUUGUUUUUUUCUUUCCCUUUUCUUUUUGUUAUGUGCCCAGCCAUCAAGGCCAUAAUCCAAACGUGUUAGCAUUUUCUCCUUUUGCAUUCUUUUCUUUUCUGCUUGUAAGCAAAUAGUGGCUAGCAAUGAUACCUGGGCCAUACUUUCCCAGUAGGUCAUCUUAAAGAAUUGACUGCCUGAGAUGAAAAUGCUCAUCCUGGUUUGGCUUAUCCAUGCCUCUCUUUUAUUGACCAGAAGGAUAGGGAUUCUUUCAGACUCCCUCCCUUUGGCCAAAAGGGGAAAAUGCCAAGCUAUUAGGAGAUACCCCUGUUUUCCAGAGCUGAGGUCCAGCUUGCAAACCGUCUCCUGAGCUUGUGGGGAGCCGGCAUUAAUCUAUGGCCACAUAAGGCCACAUUCCAAAAGACUGCCCUAACCUUGAAUAGAAAUCUCCUAAUCACA